rnacentral:rRNA from 1 species
AUAUCAAUAAGCGGAGGAAAAGAAACCAACAGGGAUUGCCCCAGUAGCGGCGAGCGAAGCGGCAAAAGCUCAGAUUUGAAAUCUGGCUGCCAUGCGGCGGCCCGAGUUGUAAUCUGCAGGGGAGUAUUCUGGUCGACGUGUCCCGCCUAAGUCCCCUGGAAUGGGGCGCCACAGAGGGUGAGAGCCCCGUGAGGCGGAGCGCGCCGGCCUAUAUGAAUCUCCUCCGACGAGUCGAGUAGUUUGGGAAUGCUGCUCUAAGCGGGAGGUAUAUUCCUUCUAAAGCUAAAUACCGGCUGGAGACCGAUAGCGCACAAGUAGAGUGAUCGAAAGGUGAAAAGCACUUUGGAAAGAGGGUGAAAUAGUAC